rnacentral:rRNA from 1 species
CCUACGGGGGGCAGCAGUGGGGGAUAUUGCACAAUGGGGGAAACCCUGAUGCAGCGACGCCGCGUGAGUGAAGAAGUAUUUCGGUAUGUAAAGCUCUAUCAGCAGGGAAGAAAAUGACAGUACCUGACCACGAAGCCCCAGCUCACUACGUGCAAGCAGCCGCGGUAUUACGUAGGGCGCAAGCGUUAUCCGGAUGUACUGGGUGUAAAGGGAGCGUAGACGGUUUUGUAAGUCGGGAGUGAAAGCACGGGGGCCAACCCCGGGAGUGCUGUGGAAACUGUGUAACUGGAGUACAGGAGAGGCAGGCGGAAUGCCUGGUGUAGCGGUGAAAUGCGUAGAUAUCAGGAGGAACACCGGCGGCGAAGGCGGCCUGCUGGACUGAAACUGACGUUGAGGCUCGAAAGCGUGGGGAGCAAACAGGAUUAGAUACCCUAGUAGUC